UACGUAGGGUGCAAGCGUUAAUCGGAAUACUGGGCGUAAAGCGUGCGCAGGCGGUUUUGUAAGUCUGUCGUGAAAGCCCCGGGCUCAACCUGGGAAUUGCGAUGGAGACUGCAAGGCUUGAAUCUGGCAGAGGGGGGUAGAAUUCCACGUGUAGCAGUGAAAUGCGUAGAGAUGUGGAGGAACACCGAUGGCGAAGGCAGCCCCCUGGGUCAAGAUUGACGCUCAUGCACGAAAGCGUGGGGGAGCAAACAGG
rnacentral:rRNA from 1 species